GGUUAAGCGACUAAGCGUACACGGUGGAUGCCCUGGCAGUCAGAGGCGAUGAAGGACGUGCUAAUCUGCGAUAAGCGUCGGUAAGGUGAUAUGAACCGUUAUAACCGGCGAUUUCCGAAUGGGGAAACCCAGUGUGUUUCGACACACUAUCAUUAACUGAAUCCAUAGGUUAAUGAGGCGAACCGGGGGAACUGAAACAUCUAAGUACCCCGAGGAAAAGAAAUCAACCGAGAUUCCCCCAGUAGCGGCGAGCGAACGGGGAGGAGCCCAGAGCCUGAAUCAGUGUGUGUGUUAGUGGAAGCGUCUGGAAAGGCGCGCGAUACAGGGUGACAGCCCCGUACACAAAAAUGCACAUGCUGUGAGCUCGAUGAGUAGGGCGGGACACGUGGUAUCCUGUCUGAAUAUGGGGGGACCAUCCUCCAAGGCUAAAUACUCCUGACUGACCGAUAGUGAACCAGUACCGUGAGGGAAAGGCGAAAAGAACCCCGGCGAGGGGAGUGAAAAAGAACCUGAAACCGUGUACGUACAAGCAGUGGGAGCACAGAGCAAUCUGUGUGACUGCGUACCUUUUGUAUAAUGGGUCAGCGACUUAUAUUCUGUAGCAAGGUUAACCGAAUAGGGGAGCCGAAGGGAAACCGAGUCUUAACUGGGCGUUAAGUUGCAGGGUAUAGACCCGAAACCCGGUGAUCUAGCCAUGGGCAGGUUGAAGGUUGGGUAACACUAACUGGAGGACCGAACCGACUAAUGUUGAAAAAUUAGCGGAUGACUUGUGGCUGGGGGUGAAAGGCCAAUCAAACCGGGAGAUAGCUGGUUCUCCCCGAAAGCUAUUUAGGUAGCGCCUCGUGAAUUCAUCUCCGGGGGUAGAGCACUGUUUCGGCAAGGGGGUCAUCCCGACUUACCAACCCGAUGCAAACUGCGAAUACCGGAGAAUGUUAUCACGGGAGACACACGGCGGGUGCUAACGUCCGUCGUGAAGAGGGAAACAACCCAGACCGCCAGCUAAGGUCCCAAAGUCAUGGUUAAGUGGGAAACGAUGUGGGAAGGCCCAGACAGCCAGGAUGUUGGCUUAGAAGCAGCCAUCAUUUAAAGAAAGCGUAAUAGCUCACUGGUCGAGUCGGCCUGCGCGGAAGAUGUAACGGGGCUAAACCAUGCACCGAAGCUGCGGCAGCGACGCUGAUGCGUUGUUGGGUAGGGGAGCGUUCUGUAAGCCUGUGAAGGUGUGCUGUGAGGCAUGCUGGAGGUAUCAGAAGUGCGAAUGCUGACAUAAGUAACGAUAAAGCGGGUGAAAAGCCCGCUCGCCGGAAGACCAAGGGUUCCUGUCCAACGUUAAUCGGGGCAGGGUGAGUCGACCCCUAAGGCGAGGCCGAAAGGCGUAGUCGAUGGGAAACAGGUUAAUAUUCCUGUACUUGGUGUUACUGCGAAGGGGGGACGGAGAAGGCUAUGUUGGCCGGGCGACGGUUGUCCCGGUUUAAGCGUGUAGGCUGGUUUUCCAGGCAAAUCCGGAAAACUAAGGCUGAGGCGUGAUGACGAGGCACUACGGUGCUGAAGCAACAAAUGCCCUGCUUCCAGGAAAAGCCUCUAAGCAUCAGGUAACAUCAAAUCGUACCCCAAACCGACACAGGUGGUCAGGUAGAGAAUACCAAGGCGCUUGAGAGAACUCGGGUGAAGGAACUAGGCAAAAUGGUGCCGUAACUUCGGGAGAAGGCACGCUGAUAUGUAGGUGAAGUCCCUCGCGGAUGGAGCUGAAAUCAGUCGAAGAUACCAGCUGGCUGCAACUGUUUAUUAAAAACACAGCACUGUGCAAACACGAAAGUGGACGUAUACGGUGUGACGCCUGCCCGGUGCCGGAAGGUUAAUUGAUGGGGUCAGCGCAAGCGAAGCUCUUGAUCGAAGCCCCGGUAAACGGCGGCCGUAACUAUAACGGUCCUAAGGUAGCGAAAUUCCUUGUCGGGUAAGUUCCGACCUGCACGAAUGGCGUAAUGAUGGCCAGGCUGUCUCCACCCGAGACUCAGUGAAAUUGAACUCGCUGUGAAGAUGCAGUGUACCCGCGGCAAGACGGAAAGACCCCGUGAACCUUUACUAUAGCUUGACACUGAACAUUGAGCCUUGAUGUGUAGGAUAGGUGGGAGGCUUUGAAGUGUGGACGCCAGUCUGCAUGGAGCCGACCUUGAAAUACCACCCUUUAAUGUUUGAUGUUCUAACGUUGACCCGUAAUCCGGGUUGCGGACAGUGUCUGGUGGGUAGUUUGACUGGGGCGGUCUCCUCCUAAAGAGUAACGGAGGAGCACGAAGGUUGGCUAAUCCUGGUCGGACAUCAGGAGGUUAGUGCAAUGGCAUAAGCCAGCUUGACUGCGAGCGUGACGGCGCGAGCAGGUGCGAAAGCAGGUCAUAGUGAUCCGGUGGUUCUGAAUGGAAGGGCCAUCGCUCAACGGAUAAAAGGUACUCCGGGGAUAACAGGCUGAUACCGCCCAAGAGUUCAUAUCGACGGCGGUGUUUGGCACCUCGAUGUCGGCUCAUCACAUCCUGGGGCUGAAGUAGGUCCCAAGGGUAUGGCUGUUCGCCAUUUAAAGUGGUACGCGAGCUGGGUUUAGAACGUCGUGAGACAGUUCGGUCCCUAUCUGCCGUGGGCGCUGGAGAACUGAGGGGGGCUGCUCCUAGUACGAGAGGACCGGAGUGGACGCAUCACUGGUGUUCGGGUUGUCAUGCCAAUGGCACUGCC
rnacentral:rRNA from 1 species